rnacentral:tRNA from 1 species
AUGGAUCAGUUGGUUAGAGCGUGAUGCUGAUAACAUCAAGGUCGCGGGUUCAAUCCCCGUU